UACGUAGGGUGCGAGCGUUAAUCGGAAUUACUGGGCGUAAAGCGUGCGUAGGCGGCUUGUCGCGUCGAUUGUGAAAGCCCGGGGCUUAACCUCGGGUCUGCAGUCGAUACGGGCUGGCUAGAGUGUGGUAGGGGAGAUCGGAAUUCCUGGUGUAGCGGUGAAAUGCGCAGAUAUCAGGAGGAACACCGGUGGCGAAGGCGGAUCUCUGGGCCAUUACUGACGCUGAGGAGCGAAAGCGUGGGGAGCGAACAGG
rnacentral:rRNA from 1 species